rnacentral:rRNA from 1 species
GAUGAACGCUGGCGGCGUGCCUAAUACAUGCAAGUCGAGCGAACGGACGAGAAGCUUGCUUCUCUGAUGUUAGCGGCGGACGGGUGAGUAACACGUGGAUAACCUACCCAUAAGACUGGGAUAACUUCGGGAAACCGGGGCUAAUACCGGAUAAUAUUUUGAACCGCAUGGUUCAAAAGUGAAAGACGGUCUUGCUGUCACUUAUGGAUGGAUCCGCGCUGCAUUAGCUAGUUGGUAAGGUAACGGCUUACCAAGGCAACGAUGCAUAGCCGACCUGAGAGGGUGAUCGGCCACACUGGAACUGAGACACGGUCCAGACUCCUACGGGAGGCAGCAGUAGGGAAUCUUCCGCAAUGGGCGAAAGCCUGACGGAGCAACGCCGCGUGAGUGAUGAAGGUCUUCGGAUCGUAAAACUCUGUUAUUAGGGAAGAACAUAUGUGUAAGUAACUGUGCACAUCUUGACGGUACCUAAUCAGAAAGCCACGGCUAACUACGUGCCAGCAGCCGCGGUAAUACGUAGGUGGCAAGCGUUAUCCGGAAAUAUUGGGCGUAAAGCGCGCGUAGGCGGUCUUUUAAGUCUGAUGUGAAAGCCCACGGCUCAACCGUGGAGGGUCAUUGGAAACUGGAAAACUUGAGUGCAGAAGAGGAAAGUGGAAUUCCAUGUGUAGCGGUGAAAUGCGCAGAGAUAUGGAGGAACACCAGUGGCGAAGGCGACUUUCUGGUCUGUAACUGACGCUGAUGUGCGAAAGCGUGGGGAUCAAACAGGAUUAGAUACCCUGGUAGUCCACGCCGUAAACGAUGAGUGCUAAGUGUUAGGGGGUUUCCGCCCCUUAGUGCUGCAGCUAACGCAUUAAGCACUCCGCCUGGGGAGUACGACCGCAAGGUUGAAACUCAAAGGAAUUGACGGGGACCCGCACAAGCGGUGGAGCAUGUGGUUUAAUUCGAAGCAACGCGAAGAACCUUACCAAAUCUUGACAUCCUUUGACAACUCUAGAGAUAGAGCCUUCCCCUUCGGGGGACAAAGUGACAGGUGGUGCAUGGUUGUCGUCAGCUCGUGUCGUGAGAUGUUGGGUUAAGUCCCGCAACGAGCGCAACCCUUAAGCUUAGUUGCCAUCAUUAAGUUGGGCACUCUAAGUUGACUGCCGGUGACAAACCGGAGGAAGGUGGGGAUGACGUCAAAUCAUCAUGCCCCUUAUGAUUUGGGCUACACACGUGCUACAAUGGACAAUACAAAGGGCAGCGAAACCGCGAGGUCAAGCAAAUCCCAUAAAGUUGUUCUCAGUUCGGAUUGUAGUCUGCAACUCGACUACAUGAAGCUGGAAUCGCUAGUAAUCGUAGAUCAGCAUGCUACGGUGAAUACGUUCCCGGGUCU